rnacentral:rRNA from 1 species
UGGGGAAUUUUGGACAAUGGGCGCAAGCCUGAUCCAGCCAUGCCGCGUGCGGGAAGAAGGCCUUCGGUUGUAAACCGCUUUUGUCAGGGAAGAAAUCUUCUGAGUUAAUACCUCGGGAGGAUGACGGUACCUGAAGAAUAAGCACCGGCUAACUACGUGCCAGCAGCCGCGGUAAUACGUAGGGUGCAAGCGUUAAUCGGAAUUACUGGGCGUAAAGCGUGCGCAGGCGGUUUUGUAAGACAGAGGUGAAAUCCCCGGGCUCAACCUGGGAACUGCCUUUGUGACUGCAAGGCUUGAGUGCGGCAGAGGGGGAUGGAAUUCCGCGUGUAGCAGUGAAAUGCGUAGAUAUGCGGAGGAACACCGAUGGCGAAGGCAAUCCCCUGGGCCUGCACUGACGCUCAUGCACAAAGCGUGGGGAGCAAACAGGAUUAGAUACCCUGGUAGUCCACGCCCUAAACGAUGUCAACUGGUUGUUGGGAAGGUUCCUUCUCAGUAACGUAGCUAACGC